rnacentral:misc_RNA from 1 species
AAUUCCUUAUACAUGCUAGUUUGUUUUUCACAACUUAGCGGCAGUCGUUCAUGGCUUUCGGCAUUUUACCCCAGUCAACCCACUGAUCCUUGAUCUCGUUCUCAUUGUAGUUCAGAAGGUUGAUUCUUCCAUUUUCUCUGUAUGUCCAUGACCAGAGAAAGAAAUUGGUGACGGUGCUACGAUUGAGAGUCACUAUAAUAGGCGUGAUUUUUCUCUUUGCUUCGGCUACUCCAAAAUGAAAGACAAGCACUUUUUAAUUACAGAAUCCAAGGAAGAUAUUAUAUAU